GCUGGGCUUAGUAGCGUGAGCCUGUAACUCGAGCGAGAGCUUUAAGUUGGUUGCAGUUAAUUUA
rnacentral:SRP_RNA from 1 species